rnacentral:tRNA from 1 species
GCUGUGGUGGCCGAGUGGUGAAGGUGUUGGACUAGAAAUCCAAUAGAGUCUCCCUGGGCAGAUUCACAUCCUGCUCACAGUG